UCAAAACACGACACAUAGGAUUGUCAGAUCGUCGGUGCUGACCAUUAAUCUCAAAAGCUCGAGCGGUUAGAAACACGCAACUAAUUCACCUAAAACGUACAGAUACAGCACCCACGGAUCUCGAUUGUGACUCAGCUCAAUCAGCCUCACGUAAUUUCGAACGUGACUCGACCCAAUCUGUCCUCCCAUCACCGGACAGGAUGCUGGCACCUUUAAGCCAACAAAGAUAUCCCCCUUCCCCACCCACUUUAGUUAGGGAAAUAUAUUGGACCUGAUUUGCCACAUGGUCUGAUUCGAAAAAUAAUUGUAUCUGAACCUAAUUAAAAUUGUUGAGCAAAUAAUAUAUUUAUUGUCUUAAAUAAAUAUACGAAACUGAUUUUUCAAUAAGU
rnacentral:lncRNA from 1 species